AGAGUUUGAUCCUGGCUCAGGAUGAACGCUGGCGGCGUGCUUAACACAUGCAAGUCGAACGAUGAAGCCCUUCGGGGUGGAUUAGUGGCGAACGGGUGAGUAACACGUGGGCAAUCUGCCCUUCACUCUGGGACAAGCCCUGGAAACGGGGUCUAAUACCGGAUAACACUCCUGCCUGCAUGGGCGGGGGUUAAAAGCUCCGGCGGUGAAGGAUGAGCCCGCGGCCUAUCAGCUUGUUGGUGAGGUAGUGGCUCACCAAGGCGACGACGGGUAGCCGGCCUGAGAGGGCGACCGGCCACACUGGGACUGAGACACGGCCCAGACUCCUACGGGAGGCAGCAGUGGGGAAUAUUGCACAAUGGGCGAAAGCCUGAUGCAGCGACGCCGCGUGAGGGAUGACGGCCUUCGGGUUGUAAACCUCUUUCAGCAGGGAAGAAGCGAAAGUGACGGUACCUGCAGAAGAAGCGCCGGCUAACUACGUGCCAGCAGCCGCGGUAAUACGUAGGGCGCAAGCGUUGUCCGGAAUUAUUGGGCGUAAAGAGCUCGUAGGCGGCUUGUCACGUCGGGUGUGAAAGCCCGGGGCUUAACCCCGGGUCUGCAUUCGAUACGGGCUAGCUAGAGUGUGGUAGGGGAGAUCGGAAUUCCUGGUGUAGCGGUGAAAUGCGCAGAUAUCAGGAGGAACACCGGUGGCGAAGGCGGAUCUCUGGGCCAUUACUGACGCUGAGGAGCGAAAGCGUGGGGAGCGAACAGGAUUAGAUACCCUGGUAGUCCACGCCGUAAACGGUGGGAACUAGGUGUUGGCGACAUUCCACGUCGUCGGUGCCGCAGCUAACGCAUUAAGUUCCCCGCCUGGGGAGUACGGCCGCAAGGCUAAAACUCAAAGGAAUUGACGG
rnacentral:rRNA from 1 species